rnacentral:rRNA from 1 species
ACGCUGACAGAAUGCUUAACACAUGCAAGUCAACUUGAAUUUGGGUUUUUAACUUAGAUUUGGGUGGCGGACGGGUGAGUAACGCGUAAAGAACUUGCCUCACAGCUAGGGACAACAUUUAGAAAUGAAUGCUAAUACCUGAUAUUAUGAUUUUAAGGCAUCUUAGAAUUAUGAAAGCUAUAAGCACUGUGAGAGAGCUUUGCGUCCCAUUAGCUAGUUGGAGAGGUAACAGCUCACCAAGGCGAUGAUGGGUAGCCGGCCUGAGAGGGUGAACGGCCACAAGGGGACUGAGACACGGCCCUUACUCCUACGGGAGGCAGCAGUGGGGAAUAUUGGACAAUGGACCGAGAGUCUGAUCCAGCAAUUCUGUGUGCACGAUGAAGUUUUUCGGAAUGUAAAGUGCUUUCAGUUGGGAAGAAAAAAUGACGGUACCAACAGAAGAAGUGACGGCUAAAUACGUGCCAGCAGCCGCGGUAAUACGUAUGUCACGAGCGUUAUCCGGAUUUAUUGGGCGUAAAGCGCGUCUAGGUGGUUAUGUAAGUCUGAUGUGAAAAUGCAGGGCUCAACUCUGUAUUGCGUUGGAAACUGUAUAACUAGAGUACUGGAGAGGUAAGCGGAACUACAAGUGUAGAGGUGAAAUUCGUAGAUAUUUGUAGGAAUGCCGAUGGGGAAGCCAGCUUACUGGACAGAUA